rnacentral:sRNA from 1 species
CCCUUAGGUGAUUGCAUACUCGGAACAUCGUUACCGUAUCUUUGGGGAAACCAUCGAUAUUGCAGUGGGUAAUUGUCUGGAUCGUUUUGCUCGAGUGCUGAAGAUUUCUAACGACCCAAGUCCAGGAUACAACAUUGAACAGAUGGCAAAGCGGUAAGGGGACAUAAGGUGGAAGCAGGCUGGCUGCUGGGGCUUCAGGGAUUUCCCCAUAUACGAGGCAAGAAGCUAGUUGAGCUGCCAUACACUGUAAAGGGGAUGGACGUCUCAUUCUCAGGGAUCCUGUCUUUCAUUGAGGAUGUAGCCCAUCGGAUGCUGGCCACAGGCGAGUGUACUCCUGAGGAUCUGUGUUUCUCCCUGCAGGAAACUGUGUUUGCAAUGCUGGUAGAGAUCACAGAGCGAGCCAUGGCACAUUGUGGCUCCCAGGAGGCCCUCAUUGUGGGAGGAGUGGGGUGUAAUGUGAGGCU